UGCGCAGGUGGGCUUGUAAGUCAGUGGUGAAAUACUGCCGCUUAACGGUAGAACUGCCAUUGAUACUGCGGGUCUUGAGUAUGGUUGAGGUAGGCGGAAUGUGUUGUGUAGCGGUGAAAUGCAUAGAUAUGACACAGAACGCCGAUUGCGAAGGCAGCUUACUAAGCCAUUACUGACGCUGAGGCACGAAAGCGUGGGGAGCGAACAGGAUUAGAUACCCUGGUAGUCC
rnacentral:rRNA from 1 species